UACAGAGGUCUCAAGCGUUGUUCGGAUUCAUUGGGCGUAAAGGGUGCGUAGGCGGCGCGGUAAGUCGGGUGUGAAAUCUCGGAGCUUAACUCCGAUACUGCAUUCGAUACUGCCGUGCUUGAGGACUGGAGAGGAGACUGGAAUUUACGGUGUAGCGGUGAAAUGCGUAGAUAUCGUAAGGAAGACCAGUGGCGAAGGCGGCUCACUGGCCCGAUACUGACGCUGAGGAGCGAAAGCCAGGGGAGCAAACGGG
rnacentral:rRNA from 1 species